AGUGAACGCUGGCGGUAGGCCUAACACAUGCAAGUCGAACGGCAGCACAGUAAGAGCUUGCUCUUACGGGUGGCGAGUGGCGGACGGGUGAGGAAUACAUCGGAAUCUACUUUUUCGUGGGGGAUAACGUAGGGAAACUUACGCUAAUACCGCAUACGACCUACGGGUGAAAGCAGGGGAUCUUCGGACCUUGCGCGAUUGAAUGAGACGAUGUCGGAUUAGCUAGUUGGCGGGGUAAAGGCCCACCAAGGCGACGAUCCGUAGCUGGUCUGAGAGGAUGAUCAGCCACACUGGAACUGAGACACGGUCCAGACUCCUACGGGAGGCAGCAGUGGGGAAUAUUGGACAAUGGGCGCAAGCCUGAUCCAGCCAUACCGCGUGGGUGAAGAAGGCCUUCGGGCUGUAAAGCCCUUUUGUUGGGAAAGAAAAGCAGCAGGUUAAUACCCCGCUGUUCUGACGGUACCCAAAGAAUAAGCACCGGCUAACUUCGUG
rnacentral:rRNA from 1 species